UCUACUCAUGGAAAGAGGGUCAGGGUUAGGCUAAGAAGCAAGGGUCCCGUGACAGCUUUUCCUCCCAGCCACUCCUGCCACGCUCUCCCCCCACCCCCACCAACCAAGCCCCAGGAGUGCCACACAUCACUCAUGCACUUUUCCCCAGCGACCUGAUUCUUGGUGCUGGCUGUCCUCCAGGAUCUGGUAGGGGGUGAUCAGAGAUCAGGACUUCCUCAGGAUCCCCAGGCACCCGGUGAGGACCAAAGACUCGGGGCCCCCCUUUACCCAGGGGAUGAAGAGCUGGCGCGAGGCUGGGGAGCCCGUGGUGCCCGAGCAAGUGCGUGAAGACGUGAGACGUUUACCGGUGUCUGCGACCAGGGCAGCAAGAAGCAAGGUGUCACUCGCCCCGUCCAGGGACAAGAGCCAGAUGGAAGGAGAAGUGCUGGGGGCUUUGAUAUUUUGUGCCUCUGCUGUCCGCCUCUUUUAAGAACGUCCGCAUACCGUCCUCAAAUCAGACGGGGCUGGGAUUACGAGCAUUAAAUAUAAAAAAAUGGUA